rnacentral:rRNA from 1 species
UGCAAGUCGAGCGAACAGAAGGGAGCUUGCUCCCGGAUGUUAGCGGCGGACGGGUGAGUAACACGUGGGUAACCUGCCUGUAAGACUGGGAUAACUCCGGGAAACCGGAGCUAAUACCGGAUAGUUCCUUGAACCGCAUGGUUCAAGGAUGAAAGACGGUUUCGGCUGUCACUUACAGAUGGACCCGCGGCGCAUUAGCUAGUUGGUGGGGUAAUGGCUCACCAAGGCGACGAUGCGUAGCCGACCUGAGAGGGUGAUCGGCCACACUGGGACUGAGACACGGCCCAGACUCCUACGGGAGGCAGCAGUAGGGAAUCUUCCGCAAUGGACGAAAGUCUGACGGAGCAACGCCGCGUGAGUGAUGAAGGUUUUCGGAUCGUAAAGCUCUGUUGUUAGGGAAGAACAAGUGCGAGAGUAACUGCUCGCACCUUGACGGUACCUAACCAGAAAGCCACGGCUAACUACGUGCCAGCAGCCGCGGUAAUACGUAGGUGGCAAGCGUUGUCCGGAAUUAUUGGGCGUAAAGGGCUCGCAGGCGGUUUCUUAAGUCUGAUGUGAAAGCCCCCGGCUCAACCGGGGAGGGUCAUUGGAAACUGGGAAACUUGAGUGCAGAAGAGGAGAGUGGAAUUCCACGUGUAGCGGUGAAAUGCGUAGAGAUGUGGAGGAACACCAGUGGCGAAGGCGACUCUCUGGUCUGUAACUGACGCUGAGGAGCGAAAGCGUGGGGAGCGAACAGGAUUAGAUACCCUGGUAGUCCACGCCGUAAACGAUGAGUGCUAAGUGUUAGGGGGUUUCCGCCCCUUAGUGCUGCAGCUAACGCAUUAAGCACUCCGCCUGGGGAGUACGGUCGCAAGACUGAAACUCAAAGGAAUUGACGGGGGCCCGCACAAGCGGUGGAGCAUGUGGUUUAAUUCGAAGCAACGCGAAGAACCUUACCAGGUCUUGACAUCCUCUGACAACCCUAGAGAUAGGGCUUUCCCUUCGGGGACAGAGUGACAGGUGGUGCAUGGUUGUCGUCAGCUCGUGUCGUGAGAUGUUGGGUUAAGUCCCGCAACGAGCGCAACCCUUGAUCUUAGUUGCCAGCAUUUAGUUGGGCACUCUAAGGUGACUGCCGGUGACAAACCG